rnacentral:rRNA from 1 species
AGAAGAAGCGCCGGCUAACUACGUGCCAGCAGCCGCGGUAACACGUAGGGCGCAAGCGUUGUCCGGAAUUAUUGGGCGUAAAGAGCUCGUAGGCGGCCUGUUGCGUCCGCUGUGAAAACUCGGGGCUUAACCCCGAGCCUGCAGUGGAUACGGGCAGACUAGAGGUAGGUAGGGGAGAAUGGAAUUCCCGGUGUAGCGGUGAAAUGCGCAGAUAUCGGGAGGAACACCGGUGGCGAAGGCGGUUCUCUGGGCCUUACCUGACGCUGAGGAGCGAAAGCGUGGGGAGCAAACAGGAUUAGAUACCCUGGUAGUCCACGCCGUAAACGUUGGGCGCUAGGUGUGGGAUCCUUCCACGGAUUCCGUGCCGCAGCUAACGCAUUAAGCGCCCCGCCUGGGGAGUACGGCCGCAAGGCUA